GAAGGCUGUCGUACUGUCCCGCUUUCUGGACACGUGGGAUUUGACAGUUUGCCUGACCAGCUGGUUAAUAAAUCAGUUAAUCAUGGGUUUUGUUUCAACAUCCUGUGUGUGGGGGAAACUGGCCUUGGUAAAUCCACCCUCAUGGACACGCUUUUCAACACCAAGUUUGAAGGUGACCCAGCAUCUCACUCACAGCCUGGGGUCCAGCUGAAAUCCAAUACCUACGACCUGCAGGAGAGCAACGUCAACCUCAAACUGACUAUUGUGAGCACAGUAGGCUUUGGGGAUCAGAUCAACAAAGAGGACAGCUAUAAGCCCAUCGUUGAGUUCAUUGAUGCUCAGUUUGAAGCCUACUUGCAAGAAGAACUGAAGAUAAAAAGGGUCUUGCACAAUUACCAUGACACCCGGAUCCACGCUUGCUUGUACUUCAUUGCUCCGACAGGCCACUCGCUGAAGUCCCUGGACUUGGUAACAAUGAAGAAGCUUGACAGCAAGGUGAACAUCAUUCCCAUAAUUGCCAAAUCUGAUGCCAUUUCCAAGAGUGAGCUGACCAAAUUUAAAAUUAAAAUCACAAGUGAACUGGUCAGUAAUGGGGUUCAGAUCUACCAGUUCCCAACAGACGAUGAAUCUGUGGCGGAGAUAAAUGGGACAAUGAAUGGCCACUUGCCGUUUGCAGUGAUCGGGAGCACGGAGGAACUGAAAAUAGGAAACAAAAUGAUGAAAGCUCGUCAGUACCCCUGGGGCACAGUGCAGGUGGAGAAUGAAGCUCACUGCGACUUUGUGAAGCUGCGGGAGAUGCUGAUCCGCGUGAACAUGGAAGACCUUCGCGAACAGACCCACACGCGCCACUAUGAGUUGUACCGGCGAUGUAAACUGGAAGAGAUGGGUUUCAAGGACACCGAUCCAGACAGCAAACCCUUCAGCUUACAAGAAACUUAUGAAGCCAAAAGAAAUGAGUUUCUGGGGGAACUGCAGAAAAAGGAAGAGGCAAUGAGGCAAAUGUUUGUCCAGAGGGUCAAGGAAAAAGAAGCGGAGCUGAAGGAGGCUGAAAAAGAGCUGCACGAAAAGUUUGAUCGCCUGAAGAAGUUACAUCAGGAUGAAAAAAAGAAGCUAGAGGAUAAGAAGAAGUCUCUGGAUGAUGAAGUAAAUGCAUUUAAACAAAGGAAGACAGCAGCUGAAUUGCUCCAAUCUCAGGCUCAGCAGGCUGGAGGAUCGCAAACUCUUAAAAGAGAUAAGGAAAGAAAAAAGUAAGUUGCUGACCCAGUGGUAUUUGCUUUUUAGUAAUGGUUCUUCUUUACUAUUUUUCUGGGUGUUCAUCUCUCUCUCCCAACCUAGCCAGUUCUUAUCAGGGGAAGGUUUGCAGCCAGAUUUAAUCCCUAGUAAGGCUGAGCAGUAGCUGGAAGCAUUUUACCUUUAGCUGUCAUCCUGAAGAGCAGGGAGCAGUGCUAACCUCCCUCAUUGCUUGCUGACAGCAUGGGAGAGGAUGGAGAGAUUCCCGGCUCCUCCCUUGGUCUGUCAGUGCUUGUAAUGAAGUGGAAAAAUACUGGCUGCCAAGGCUAGGCUGUGGGUAGCAGGGAUGUCCCACUACCCACAGAGAGGAGCGUGUCCUGUCUCAGGUUCUUAUUUGUUUAGGUUGGGAAAAAGCUUAUACUGUGGAAAUUAUUCAGGGAGACUAAUAGUCUUGAAUUCUGGAGUCUGCAAAAUGUAAGGCUGCAAAAUGAGGGGACAGGUCGCAGCUCUUUGUUAGUGCUAGCACUCUUGUCCAGCCCUAAAUCAGCUUUUUGCCCUCCACAGAAACAGUGAGAGAUACUGCAUGGCUUUAGCAGGAGUUCCCCAUGCCAGGGACUGGUGUGACAGGAUCCAGCCCCUCAUCAGGGUCCUAUGAUCUGGACCGUUGGCAGUGCCCAUGCCAGGCUCCUAAUGCUCUGCCGUUGCUCAAGAGCAACCAGCUGUACAGCUGAAACAGUUCUCCUGGUGCACCUAGCAAUGAGCAGUUCCUUUUCUUCUCAUUGUGGUACGUUGCCUGAAAUGGAGUGCUGUGCCACCUUAGCAUGUGUACAAAGAGCGGUGCACAGAUAAACAAGGGUCUGGUUUCUAUACCACUGCCAUAAUCCCCUCUUUGCACAUCCCUGGGGCAAAUCCAGAGUAAAUCUUGCCUGCACUAUGCAAUCUUAAAUACAUGGAGAAGUGCUGUUAAUACGAACAAUAUGGCACAUGCCCGAAGAGCUGACAGGACUGUUUGUCAGGGAGAAUAGCCCUUGACUGUUAAGCUUGGAAUCAAGUGAGACAAGAGAGGAAAAACCCAAUAACCAGAAUGAGAUCCUGGUUUAGUCUUUUUAGUUUUGAGCUGGAGCUGCUUCAAUGUCAACAUUCUUUUGCCAUGAGCAAUUAGUGCUGCCCUUUUCUUGCUUGUCCGUUCCUUUUUCCACUGCAUAUUUUGAUUUGCUCUUUUGAAUUACCUUCAGGGGCUUUUAAUAUCUUUUUAUACUGAGGAACCUGAGACUGACUGGGGACAGACAUCUCUCCCCAGCCUGGAUUGUGUGAGGAAUACACAACUGAGUUCUUUUAUGCCUAGAGCCCUCAGACAUCUGCACACUGAGGACUGCAGACUUCAGCCCUGAGAUCAGUCAGGGUCAGGAAUGCAGAAAAGGGAGAUGACAUGCCUAUAGUAUGAGCAAUUAGUCACUGUGGCCCAAGUCACACUCUUGUUCCUAGAAGCAGUUCUGAUCUCAGAAGAGCUCCUUGACACCAAGCGCAUUCAUAUGGAAAAGCAUUGGUACCUCUGUCAGUUAAGGACACAGAAAGGCACAGAAAACUCCAUGAAAGAGAUAGGUCAGUGCUUGAGUAAGGCUUGGGAAGAUAUUAGGAGGCUUCUCUCUCCUCCAGGAAAAUAGCUGUGUUAGAAAUAGCGCUGGUUUUUUUACUCUGUAACUUCUCCAAUUGUCCUUAAUAAUACAUUUCAGUACUUAGAUUAUAAAUAUCUCUUAACAAUCCAUGAAUUUCACAAGCUGUAGCUUAAUUGUAUCUUGUUUACUAGUGGCUGACAGUACACUAGCCUUUUUCUUUCACAGGUCACUCUUUUAAACCCAAGCUCUGUAAUUUGCACUAAUCAUUGACUUGGUUUCUUUUUUGUUGUUGUUGUUACAUCAUUAUCAUCAUUACUAGCUCUUACGUGUAUGCUGUUUUACAGUUAGCUGCUGUUUGACUGCAUGGUGCAUGAGGCACAUUGUCCUGGUAAGCGUCAUUAACUAAUACAGACCUCACAGUGGGAUCAGUUACAGUUCCUAAAAAAGCAGAUCCUGUGCAAGUCCAGAAGCCUAUAAGUAUUAUCUCUGCCUUCCUCUGCUUUCACCCUUACUAUACAUGCUCUACCAGUCUCUCUCUACAUAUGCAGUUGUAGAAAAAGGAUGCAAUGAAGUUUGUCUAAAGAUUCUGCAAAGUAAAAUGCAGAGAGACUCAGUAUUAGGACAUGAAAUGUAGAGAAAUAGGGAUUAGGUUCUCUGCCUUUUAGACCUUCCCAGCACUUUGGUGGCUCCAUUUUCUUUAUUCUGUCGCCCUUAGAAAUAAAUUAACAUAGGCCAUGUUGAUACUAUGGCAACAAUUGCUAUGGAGAUGUGCUGAUGAUAGAACUAGCUAGCCAUGAGAAUGUCUUUUCCCCUUCUCCUCCUUCCCUCCCACCCCCCCCCAAGUUGUAGUGUUAACUUGCAGGUGAAGGUAGAUGCAAGACUAGUUUCUAUCCCUCUCUUCACAUACUAACAGAUGGUAAAAUCUGCCAGACCUAGAGCUUUCCUUUGUCCCAAAGCACCAGAGAAUCACUCUGUGUGUGUGUGUGUGUGUGUGUGCGCGCGUUAAAGAAACUACUGCCGAGUAACCAAACCAAUAUUCACCUGCUGACUGAUUAUAGUUGAUUGUCCAAAACUGCAAGAAGUGAUGGGCUGAGCAUUUAGCAGAUAAUGAAGGCUCUGAAGAUAAACUGAGAGACUUUAUGACAUUUUUAACAGUUAGAUGGGUCACCCAUGGAUUGGAGGUUCAGGUGUAGCAGACAGACACAAACCCACACGCCUGGGAGCCGUGCCAAGUGCGCCCACGGUUAGGGUAAGGCUAGUGGUAGAAGAGGGCUGUUAUUCCAGGUGCGUCCCGAAAGCCAACCAGUGCGCUUUGCCCCUGAAUAAGGCCAGUGUCCGAGCUUCCGAGGAGUUUUGCCAAGGCGUGGAGAGUUCCCACUGGAGCAGAGCCCUGUCAGUGGUGUUAUGCUGUGAGUCUGGUCUGCUCCAGUUGCUGUGGCUCUGUCCAGAGUGUCUCUGCCUUCAUGUGAGCAGGGAUGUAAAGUGGCCACAUAGUCACGGGCAGGCUUCUGGAACAGAUAAGGUUGCCUGAAAGGGUUAACAAACCUGGCCAUAAGCAAGUGUCUGCAGUGCAAAGUGCCAGGAGUUGUUGUAAAAUGAAGGCUCAUUUAAACAAAGAUGUGUAAGAAAUGCACCUGCCUGGCAGGAGAGCAGCAUCCUCAUUAGAGUUAUUGGUUAAACUGCUCAUAACAAUGGUCUACUUAUACCUAGGUUGAGUGUGUUUAAUUGAGCCUUUUUAAUUUGCUGUUGAUUCUCUGGUGAGAGGAAAAAGAAAGCUCCCACAGGAAUGUCUUGCUUCUUGACAGACCAGCGAUACUUAUUACCCAAGGCAAGGGUGACAGCACCCCAGGCUGAGGUGGGCAGGUCUCUCAGAGAAGCGACCUGUUGGUACAGCACCACUUAACUAUAAAACACCCUAAAAAACUCAGCCUCGAGUCCACACUUCCCUGCAGACAAAGCUAGGAUUUACAUUCUCUCCAGGAUACAGUCCAAACUAACUUAACAGUCUGCCGUUAAAUAGGGAAAAGCUGAUUCCAGGAUUCCUUCCCUCUUAGCUCCACCAAGGGAAAUGGAAAAGCAAGUAAACAUUACGCUGUCAGUGAGAGGCAUUUGAAUUUAAUUUCAAUGGGACGUUCCACUUAACAGAAGAGCCUCAGAAGGGUCUUGCACUGACUCAAACUGGAGCUUGCAGUCGUCUUGAGCAGUCUGGUUGAAUGAAUGUCUCUGCUGCCAAUGUUCGGGUUUCCUGUAGAACCUUUCCCUUCACAUCAGAAGCCAAUGCCCCCACAUUCGGUUAACACGCGGCUAUGCCAUUGUGCCUGUUUGCUCACCUUUACUCAUUGCUCCCUUCCUGCGCUCACCAUUUUGUUUUAAGCAAGAGUCCGCACCCUUGGCUGUUCUGGGUUAUGGUUGUUCUUGUGAAGAACUCGGCAAUAGCCUACGUGGAACUGGCAAGAGAUGCUCAUUGCUGAUACCUCUUCCCCUCUGGGCAAUAGCAGGCUGCCGAGUGCUCGUAGGGCUAGCGUCCCCUCUUCUCAGUUGCUUGGCUUUUUGUCUCUCCCUCCGUUUUGUGCGAGGGCUGCAUGGUAAGAGAGCGCAGCUGCUUGGUGGUGUGCAUUUAGCUCCUGUCGUGGGACUGCUGUGAAUGCAACCCGAGGCUGCCGUGGGGUGGGACGUGCUGUCUCAAGAGACCGGCUGCCCUCUCCCCUUUUUAAUUGGCUGUAUCUAACCCCUCAUUACCCCCUUCUGUGCUGCCGUGUGUGACUCUAAUUUUAAAGGACUUUUGCAAAACUUGACACCCUCACAGGCAUGGGCCUGAGUCCAGACCUCUAGUCCCCAGGCUUGGGGGAUUCUCAAACUUGGAUCCACGGUUUGCAACUAAGUGUUCUCUGAAUGCUGCAGGGGUCACGAAGGAUCUCUUGCCUUGUCUCCCUCUCAGUGUGCUGGCCUGGAUGCACAUCCUGGAUCCAAUCUCAGGGAAAGCUGGUCACCUUGCUGUACAUAUCAGUGUUUGUGAAGAAAGACGAUGAUGUUUCUUUGACUUUCUUCUCAGUGAUUCCAACAAUUUCUGAUUUUAAUGCAAAAAGUAUUACCUUUAUUUUUUUUAUUUGGCAUCUGUUUAGAAGUGUACAGAUGCUGGCAGGUUGCUUCUCAUAUUUUCUAUUCAGCAAAAGGCUUGUUUUACUGCAAGAUUUGCACUAAAAAGGAGGGUGUUUUGCUCACUGGGCCCAGGAGUUCACUCUGGCCAAGUGCAACUGUGGUUUGCCUGCAGGUGUCUUCUCUGUGUAUUUCUGGAUGAGUUUUGUUUUUAAAUAAAGACUUCAUCAGACAGUGAA